rnacentral:rRNA from 1 species
AUUGAACGCUGGCGGCAUGCCUUACACAUGCAAGUCGAACGGCAGCACGGGUGCUUGCACCUGGUGGCGAGUGGCGAACGGGUGAGUAAUACAUCGGAACGUACCUUAUCGUGGGGGAUAACGCAGCGAAAGCUGUGCUAAUACCGCAUAAGCCCUGAGGGGGAAAGCGGGGGAUCGAAAGACCUCGCGCGAUUAGAGCGGCCGAUGCCUGAUUAGCUUGUUGGUGGGGUAAAAGCCCACCAAGGCGACGAUCAGUAGCUGGUCUGAGAGGACGAUCAGCCAAGCUGGGACUGAGACACGGCCCAGACUCCUACGGGAGGCAGCAGUGGGGAAUUUUGGACAAUGGGGGCAACCCUGAUCCAGCAAUGCCGCGUGAGUGAAGAAGGCCUUCGGGUUGUAAAGCUCUUUUGUCAGGGAAGAAACACCGGCUCUAACACAGUCCGGGAAUGACGGUACCUGAAGAAUAAGCACCGGCUAACUACGUGCCAGCCGCCGCCGUAA